rnacentral:rRNA from 1 species
GUUUCCUUCGGGGAAUGGAUUAGCGGCGGACGGGUGAGUAACACGUGGGUAACCUGCCUCAUAGAGGGGAAUAGCCUUCCGAAAGGGAGAUUAAUACCGCAUAAUAUUAUCGAGUGGCAUCACUUGAUGAUCAAAGGAGCAAUCCGCUAUGGGAUGGACCCGCGUCGCAUUAGUUAGUUGGUGGGGUAACGGCCUACCAAGACGACGAUGCGUAGCCGACCUGAGAGGGUGAUCGGCCACAUUGGGACUGAAACACGGCCCAGACUCCUACAGGAGGCAGCAGUGGGGAAUAUUGCACAAUGGAGGAAACUCUGAUGCAGCAACGCCGCGUGAGCGAUGAAGGUCUUCGGAUCGUAAAGCUCUGUCUUUAGGGAUGAUAAUGACAGUACCUAAGGAGGAAGCCACGGCUAACUACGUGCCAGCAGCCGCGGUAAUACGUAGGUGGCGAGCGUUAUCCGGAUUUAUUGGGCGUAAAGGGAGCGUAGGCGGAUACUUAAGUGGGAUGUGAAAUACUUGGGCUCAACCCGAGUACUGCAUUCCAAACUGAGUAUCUAGAGUGCAGGAGAGGGGAGUGGAAUUCCUAGUGUAGCGGUGAAAUGCGUAGAGAUUAGGAAGAACACCAGUGGCGAAGGCGACUCUCUGGACUGUAACUAACGCUGAGGCUCGAAAGCGUGGGGAGCGAACAGGAUUAGAUACCCUGGUAGUCCACGCCGUAAACGAUGAAUACUAGGUGUAGGGGUUUCGAUACCUCUGUGCCGCCGCU